rnacentral:rRNA from 1 species
AGAGUUUGAUCCUGGCUCAGGAUGAACGCUAGCGACAGGCUUAACACAUGCAAGUCGAGGGGCAGCGGGGGUAGCAAUACCCGCCGGCGACCGGCGCACGGGUGAGUAACGCGUAUGCAACCUGCCCACCACUUGGGGAUAACCUUGCGAAAGUAAGACUAAUACCCAAUGACGUCUCUAGAAGACAUCUGAAGGAGAUUAAAGAUUUAUCGGUGAUGGAUGGGGAUGCGUCUGAUUAGCUUGUUGGCGGGGUAACGGCCACCAAGGCGACGAUCAGUAGGGGUUCUGAGAGGAAGGUCCCCCACAUUGGAACUGAGACACGGUCCAAACUCCUACGGGAGGCA